AGAGCAUGCCGGGAAAGGCACCUCUCCCGAUCUCCUGGCGCUCACCUCCCGGGCGUUCCUUUCGUGUCCCCUUGAAAGCCCGGUCCUUGGGCUUGGAAUGAGACGGUUUGGGCUCAUGCCUGCUUUGGUCAGUAGAAUACAGCUGAAGUGAUGUUGUACCAGUUUUGCGUCUGGUCUUUACAAGCACUGGUAGCUUCAACUUUCUCCUUCUUGGUACUCACCCACCAUGUUGUAAGGAAACCCAAACAGCCACGUGGAAGACAGUUCUAGUUGAGCUCCCAGCCCAGAGCCUAUCCCAACUCUCCAGCCAUACCCUGACUUCCUUCAGCAAAGAGACAGCUUCUGAUUCAUGUUCGUCUCACCAUAAUAUACUUCCAAAAGUUACACUAGAUGUUAACUGAGCACUAAGGACACUACGUGAAAGACUGGAGUACAAACAUCCAAAGGACUGAAGAAUUUGAAGAGCACUGAAUGUGGGAGAUAGGACAGAGGAAAGGAGUCAAAUGUCUCCAAGAAACGAAGCCUGUGUGCCCUGGAGAAUGAAGAAGCAUCAUCAAAUCGGGGAGACUGAAGGAGGAAUCGGUUUUCAGAGAAAAACAAUUUAUAUUGUCUUAGCUGUGUUAGGUGGCAUACUAUUACAUUCAAGUGAAGCUGUGUAAUAGACAGAGAUGACAAAUUUUAUUCAUUUAUGAAUGCCCCCCAAAAUAUAUAUAUAGUUUUUGCCCUCAUGUCUCUUAUUGGGAUGACAGACAUAAAUCAAAGAAUUCCAUAAAUAAAUAUUAAAAUACAAUUUGUGAUAAAUGCUA
rnacentral:lncRNA from 1 species